rnacentral:rRNA from 1 species
UGCAGUCGAACGAGAACCAGCUUGCUGGGGGACAGUGGCGUAAGGGCGAGGAAUACAAUCGUACGUGCCCCGAGGUGGGGGAUAGCGUCGGGAAACUGGCGGUAAUACCCCAUGUGCUCUCCGGAGGAAAGGCUUGUCCGCCUUGGGAGCGGCGAUUGUCCUAUCAGGUUGUUGGUGAGGUAACGGCUCACCAAGCCGAAGACGGGUAGCGGGUGUGAGAGCAUGACCCGCCGCAUCGGGACUGAGACACUGCCCGGACUCCUACGGGAGGCUGCAGUAACGAAUAUUCCGCAAUGGGCGAAAGCCUGACGGAGCAAUGCCGCGUGUGGGAUGAAGCGCCUUCGGCGUGUAAACCACUGUCAGGGUCGAGGAACACUGACCAGACCCAGAGGAAGGACCGGCUAAUUCCGUGCCAGCAGCCGCGGUAAUACGGAAGGUCCGAGCGUUAAUCAGAAUUACUGGGCUUAAAGCGUGCGCAGGCGGAUCGUCAAGCGUCUUGUGAAAGCCCCCGGCUCAACCGGGGAAAUGCAGGGCGAACUGACGGUCUUGAGGCAGGUAGGGGUCGAUAGAACCAUCGGUGGAGCGGUGAAAUGCGUAGAUAUCGAUGGGAAUGCCGGUGGCGAAGGCGAUCGACUGGGCCUGUCCUGACGCUCAUGCACGAAAGCGUGGGCAGCGAACGGGAUUAGAUACCCCGGUAGUCCACGCCGUANACGAUGCGCACUAGAUCGCAGUGGCUCUCACGCCUUUGCGGUCGAAGUAAAAACGUUAAGUGCGCCGCCUGGGGAGUACGGUCGCAAGGCUAAAACUCAAAGGAAUUGACGGGGGCUCACACAAGCGGUGGAGCAUGUUGCUUAAUUCGAGGCAACGCGAAGAACCUUACCUGGGUUUGACAUG